CAGUAGCCGCGGUAAUACGAAGGGUGCAAGCGUUAAUCGGAAUUACUGGGCGUAAAGCGUGCGUAGGCGGUUUGUUAAGUCUGCUGUGAAAUCCCCGGGCUCAACCUGGGAAUGGCAGUGGAUACUGGCAAGCUAGAGUGUGUCAGAGGAUGGUGGAAUUCCCGGUGUAGCGGUGAAAUGCGUAGAGAUCGGGAGGAACAUCAGUGGCGAAGGCGGCCAUCUGGGACAACACUGACGCUGAGGCACGAAAGCGUGGGGAGCAAACAGGAUUAGAGACCCCGGUAGUCCCUGUCUCUUAUAC
rnacentral:rRNA from 1 species